GGUAGCAGAGUUAGAAACUCACAGAGACAGGCGGCGGCCGCACGGGGCGACAUGGAAGCUGCCCGGCGGGGGUGGAGCGAGUUGACGGAACAGCAGCCGGAGACGGGUGAAGAGGCUGACACUCCGGAGGGGUGGCCCAACUUGAUGGAACUGCUAGAGCCGGAAAAAGUGGAAUAACUAUUAAACUUUUUGGACACUUUGUUUUGGAAAAGGAA